rnacentral:lncRNA from 1 species
GGUGACGAGGAAGGACCCAGUGGUGCCAGUGAAGAAGAGGACACAUGAAGGCUUGCCAUCAGAGUGGAAAACCACCCCUUCCCUUGCAGAAAUCUUUGGGGAGAAGUCAUCAAGGGAUGCAGAUAACGGAUGUCUCCAGAAUGAAUCAGGUACUCACAGCAGUUCCUGGCUGCCUUCCAAAUGUUGGGUUUCUGGAUGCAGAGAGGGAUUUGUCCUUUGAUUUGGUAUCAUUAAAUCCAGGACAAUCCUAA